UCUGGUGGCGAUGCGCUUAGGGGACACACCCGUUCCCAUCCCGAACACGAUGGUUAAGACCUAAGCGGCCGAUGGUACUUUACUGGAGACGGUACGGGAGAGUAGGUGGCUGCCGGGC
rnacentral:rRNA from 1 species